rnacentral:lncRNA from 1 species
UGCUUCAGCUCCUGGCUCCAAGUCCCUGCCCUGUGUGAGUUCCUAGCCUGAUUUCCUUUGGUGAUGAACAGCAGUGUGGAAAUGUAAGUGGACCCUCAGUCUCUCCAAGGACUGACUAUCUUCACAUCAAGACUUUGGAAAUUCUUCUACUCCUUCAAGAAGUGGGCUUAGGAAAUGGAAUAAUCAAAGCCUGCAGAAGACUUAUAGAUGGGACCACAUCCUUGUCCAUAUACCUGAAGGCAGACAGGAACAUCAGUUGGCUCCUCUCUAGAUAAGAGACAUUUUAGGACACUGAGGAAACAUAACUUGAGCUCUUGAACACAUUGUUGAGGACUAGAAGAAAUGAAUGAGCACCAGCAGAUGCUUUGGAAUACUGUUGAGCGAUGGAUACCUGUCUAAUAUUGCCAAAGUUAGUUUCUGAGAUCCUAUGGGAAACAUCAGUCAUCAUUAGAACUGACUGAAUGUUCUCUACAAGGAGGAAUGGGAGGCUGUCCAAUCUCACAGGUUUUUUGAAAUAAGAUCACCACGUUAGUGGGCUAGUGAUAUGGGAACAUCAAGGAGCCCACAGUAAAUUCAUUGCUUUACGACAAAUACAAUUUGAAGAUCCUCCAACACAUACGAUUUGUGCUUCCUUUCUCUCUGGACAUAU